UAUAUGAGUAAAUUCUUAAACACGUCCGAAUUUAUCAUUAUGAUAAAUUCGCAGCAAAUUUUGAAUUUAUCAUAAUAAUAAAUUCGCGGCACCUAACACUAACCCUAACCCCAACCCUAACCACUAACCCCUAACCCCUAACCCUAACCCCUAACCCCUAACCCCAACCCUAACCCCUAACCCCUAACCACUAACCCCUAACCCUCAUUUUUUCAACUUUUUAAAUUUUUUUAACUUU